rnacentral:lncRNA from 1 species
UUCGUUCAAUUUGUUCACGGGUUUCAUUGAUCAAAGAGUUGAUAGCAAGGAUCGGUCUCGGUUUGGAUACGCAUAGAGUCUUCGCACUAUCGAAGAAAUUUCGGAAAAGAAACUCUCUUCACCAGGUACGUCUUAGAUCCUAUCUUUGACAUAUAAAUAAAUUUUAAACAUGAAAAAAUCUACCUAGGAUUGUUAUUGUCUUCCGCUGCAUGUUACGAACACCCUAUACGCAAUCCUAC